AAGAGCCGCUGACACCUCCCGCCUCUUCACCUUCUUGGCGUGGAAACCGCGAGGGUGAGGUAGAGCAUCGCUGCUGGCAGCGCUUGUGUCAGGUUUCUCGGUGGUUUCUCUCACGUGCUCCUGCAUCGUUGCACCUUCAUAUCGACGAGAGGGUGCGCCAGCCCGUAUUCCUGGGCUGGGACCAAAGUGCAAGCCACUGAAAUAUUCCUCGAAUUAUGAGGGCAAGGAUUUUCUGUGGUUAUUGGAAUGGCAUCUGAAGCCCCACUGACUGGAAUCCAAUCCUGUCUUCACCGCGUCCUUUGAUUGUUAUGAAGGACCUUCAGGACAUCAUAUAAUUUCACCCAAAAACAUUUCAAUGUGUAUCUGUAAGAGGUCAACAUUAUACGGUGACCCAGAUGGGACCCAAAAGAGAUGAACCCCUGAGGAACUAAUGACCCUCAGAACCAUGUGAAGUACUCACUUGAGUGCCUAGUACUCUCUGCUUCCUUUUAGUUUGGUAACACUUGGAAACCAUGAUCUUAUGGAACUCAGUAGGAAACGCCUCAGCUGCCUUAGCGUCCGAACUCACAGCCUGUCCGUGCCUCACAAUGCUAUGGAUGCCACCUCUCCUCUUAAAGUUAUCAAACCAUCCCCUGCUUGCCUUGAAGACUUCUUAAUUUUCUGCUGAUGUACCUGGCAGUUUACUUAUGAGGAAGCAGCUUACUAUAUGUACCCCAGCCUGAGGAAGGAAGAAUUUCUCCUUGCUCAACAACAGCCCAGCCAGUGAGAACUCAGUGAAACAGCCCCUCCCAGCUUCCUCUCUUCCCCUGUAAAAGCAGAACCCUCUCCUCUGUUCUCUGGGUUUGCCUAUGGUUUGCCAUAGUUUGCUUGUCCUGAAUUGCAAUUCCUCUGCUAUUCCUAAUAAAUUCAUUUUGCUGGUAAAAAUAA